UUGUCCAACAUGUCCAGCUUGAUCCUCGCCAACGGGAAGGUUGAAUUUAUCGUGGGUGCAAAAUACCGUUUGAUGCGGAAAAUCGGAUCCGGCUCAUUUGGUGACAUUUAUCUCGGAAUCAACAUCUCAAAUGGCGAAGAAGUUGCGGUCAAACUGGAAGCUAUGCGAGCUCGCCACCCACAGCUACUUUAUGAAUCAAAGUUAUACAAGAUCUUACAUGGGGGAAUUGGGAUUCCCCACAUACGAUGGUAUGGUCAAGAACGUGAAUAUAACGUGCUUGUGAUGGAUUUACUAGGGCCUUCGCUCGAAGAUCUAUUUACAUUUUGUUCAAGAAGGUUUACAAUAAAGACCGUCUUGAUGCUGGCUGACCAAAUGAUUGGACGUAUCGAAUUUAUUCAUUGCAAACACUUUAUUCAUAGAGAUAUAAAACCAGACAAUUUUCUCAUGGGCAUUGGGCGGCAUUGCAAUAAGCUCUUUAUGAUAGAUUUUGGCUUAGCGAAGAAAUUCAGAGACAGUCGUACUAGAUCACAUAUAAUGUAUCGAGAAGAUAAAAAUUUAACGGGAACAGCUAGGUACGCUUCAAUAAAUGCCCACCUUGGUAUUGAACAAAGCCGUCGUGAUGAUAUGGAAUCCUUGGGCUAUGUUCUCAUGUACUUUAAUCGAGGAUCCUUGCCAUGGCAAGGUCUCAAGGCAGCAACAAAAAAACAAAAGUAUGAAAAAAUCAGUGAAAAGAAAAUGUCCACCCCAGUUGAGGUCUUGUGCAAGGGAUAUCCAGCAGAAUUUGCAAUGUUCUUGAAUUACACACGAGGAUUACGGUUUGAAGAGGGUCCCGACUACAUGUACCUGCGCCAAUUGUUCCGUAUUUUGUUCCGCACCUUGAAUCAUCAAUACGAUUACACAUUCGACUGGACGAUGCUAAAACAGAAAGCUGCCAACGUGACGGUGGUCGGUGGUGGAAUUUCAGGAGGUGCAGGUUUAUCGAACCAAGCACAAGGUCAAGGACAAGGUCAAACACCAACUCAAGCUAAUGCCCAACCAGUUUCGCGCGAGAGACCUUACACCGAAAAUUACGAAUGAAUUAAAUCUUAAGUGUCAACAAAACCCACCAUGCUGCGAACAACUCCACCAAAAACAACUAGCUACGCCGUCUUCCGUCUUACAUCUGCCUCGUAAACAGCCGUUACUCCCUAAAUGUUGAAGAAAAACGUCGGAAAAUCUCUAAAAAUGCAAAUGAAAAAAAAUGAAGCACUACACUCGAUCGCUGGUUUAUAUCUGUACUCAGGGGAACGCGUUAAAGCUCCAAAUGCCCCCCAAUAGCCCUGAAUCAAUUGCGAUUGCUAUAAAAAAAAUAAAUAAAAAAGUGUCCCAAAUACGAGACUUUAACAUAUAGAACUGACACUGAACCAAGAGCUGAAUUGAACGAAGGCUUUUUUAUGGUAAAGAGGAAAAAGUUUGAAACAAACAAAAAUCAUUUCAUCACAUGAUAUUUCGAAAGGUUCGGAUUGAAGUUUUGAUGGGUGUUGUUAUUAAAACUGCUUCGAAAAAAAUGCUCAAUGCAAGCAGGUUAUCUUAUGACCUAUUAUAAAAGGAGAAAAACAAAUUGGCAAUGGCUCAAUUUUUGCUAACUUUAUCGCAUUUAAAGCUUCAAUAAAUUCAGCCCAAGAAAUUAAUUAUAAUCUGGAGGAGAUUGGACGUGAGGUUGGCUAGUUAUUGUACUAUAAUUCUAUCCAUUUAGUCGACUCAUUUUUAUGAAUUAAUUACCAAUGAAUUUUAUAGGGAAAGAAAAUUCCAAUCCAUCGAUACCACUAUUUGUCUUACUUGUUUCCAAAUCAAAUGAUAUGGAUACUCUAUAUACUUGCAUAUAUAUAUACACAUACAUAUAUAUACAUAUAUUUACUUACUCGUAACUUGGUUCUUCCUAAUUAUCCUAUAUUUAACUAUUAAUUUUUUAUCCGUAGGUCAAUGCGGAGUUCUAUUUGCUUUCGGUUGAUGAAAAAGCGAAUUCAAUUCUAUACUAUAAUUUGCAAAAAUGCAAUUUUUUCGCAAGACGAAAAGAAAUUUUCUGGAAUGAAUGGAAUUGCAGGCUGACCUCUUUCUUUCUCUGGUUGUGUGUAACCCACUUAUUGGUUUUUAUUUAUUUAUUUUCUUGCCAUUUUUUUUUUUCCUUUUUUCUUAAAUUUCGCUUUACUUGAUAAGUCCCGGAAACAAUCCCGAUGGGUGGCUAAUGAGAGCGUUUAUAAGAAAAAUUUAUAUGUUCAAUUGCACCCAGGAUAGAAUAUACUUAUACAUGUAUAAUCCGUAAAUGAAGAAAGAGCCUCAAAAGCAAUAGGCGGGCCGACAAUGAAAUGAACUGAAAAAUUAAAGAAAAAACGCAAAGUAUAAGAGGAUCAAAAAAUGAGUAAGAAAUAAAGACAAAGUUUGAACAAAAGAAAAAAAAAAAACAAUAAUCACGCUUCAUAUUUGAACGUGAAUACGAUUAAAGCAGAGCAAAAGAACGAAAGAAAACAAAAAAAAAUUAUCAAAAUGAACAAAAAAUAAAUAAACAAAAAUAAAUAAACGGAAUCGAAUGUAUGUGAAUGAAUGAAUGACUGGAUAAUGUGUAAGUGCUUGUACGAGUGCUAAGUUAAUUAAUAAUUAAUGAUACAUGCACACAUGAAACUAUCUGGUAUAUUAUAUAUUAUGAAAAAAAAAAUUAUGACAGUAAUUAAGAUAUGAGUUAUUUCAUAAA